GGUGAGGAUUCGCUCUUCCAGAGAAGGCGCGAAAAGCCCCCUCCUCUUCGUCCUAAGCUUCGGCGGGAAAGCAUCCGUUGAUCUUUUCUCUCCGUCUUGAGGGAGGCGUCGGCGGCUUGCGGCAGUCUUGAGUUUCCGGGAAGGACUCUUUCUGAGGAAAGGCUAACGCCGCAGGCGGAGAUGUCCAACUACGUGAACGACUUGUGGCCGGGCUCGCCGCAGAAGGACUCGCCCUCGACGUCCGGCUCGGGCCGUUCCAGCCGCCUGUCGUCGUGGUCUAGGAGCCGCUCUUCUUCCAGGAGCUCUCGGCCAUAUCCCCGCUUCUCCAGCCGGUCCUCGUCUAGGAGCCGCAGCCGGCACCGGAGGAGCAGGUCCAGGUCUCGUUCCAGACGGCGCCACCAGCGGAAGUACAGGCGCUACUCGCGGUCCUAUUCGCGGAGCCGGUCGCCGCCCCGCAGCCGCCGCUACCGGGAGAGGCGCUCUGGGUCGUCCCGGAGGUACUACCGGUCGCGUAGCAGGUCGCGCUCUCGGGGACGGUGGCACUCCCGAAGGGCCUCCGCGAUCACGCGGGUGCGGCGCUUCCACGGCUUCGGUCGCACGGUGUACCCGGGGGAACACAGCCGGUGGAGGGUCAGAUCCAGGACCAGGUCGCGCAGCAAAACCCCCUUUCGCUUGAGUGAAAAAGAUCGAAUGGAGCUGUUAGAGAUAGCAAAAGCCAACGCAGCGAAAGCUUUGGGAACAACCAAGAUUGACUUGCCAGCUAGUCUCAGAACUGUUCCUGCAGCUAAAGAAACAAGCCAUAGAACAGCUGUACCAAAUAACGGUGCAGAAUCUGAAAAAUCAUGAAUGGGGUCUCCAGACAUUGAUGAAGAAAAUCUGUUGGUAAUUGAUACAUGGGCUAAAGCAUCAGAAGUUUAAUGUGAAGUUUACUUUCAUACACUGAAAGCUUAGUUUUUUCGUUGGUACAUACAUGUGCAUGCUAGAAUUUGGGGCAGGUACUAUUUUCUUAAGGUACUUAAGGUACUAAAAACAAUUUUUAAGUUAAGCAAAGGUACACUUUGUAAUGGUGGGGCAUCUGUGAUAUAGAUGUCCUUUUUAUAAUAUAUGCAAUAUAUUCCAGAUGUUUUGAGAGAUUACAGAAGAGGAGGCCUGCUUCACUUGCAGAUAAGUUUGUUACAAUUCUCCAGAAAUUUGCAGGAUGUGCAUUCUCAAAUUACACCAUACUUUUAGAUUACAGAGAUGCCAUAUUUAAGUGAAACUAUCAUUGGGACCCAGAUACGGGUUUGUUUACUGUCAGUAGACAAGUAAGAUCUUCAUUGAAUUGUUAAGAUGAUUAGGUGCCCAGUUGGCAAAUGCCUUAGUUCUUUGAAACUAGAUAUUUUCUGGUAUGACUUCACUUUCAAAGUUAUUUGAAUUUGAGGCAUGGGAAUAAAAUAAUUAUGAGAAGAGUGUCUUAAGCUCAUAUUGCACCAAUUUUGUAAGGGGGAAAAGUCAACAGUUCCAUGUUACUUAGGCUAUUAACUAUAUGGUUAGAUCCAAUUUGAUUUGUGUGUCUACAACUAAGUUUGUGUAUAAUUAUACUGCAUUUUAUAUAGUCCGUAAAAUAAGCCUGGGGUAUUUUUUUUUAAUUAUACUUUUACUUGUCUGUCUAGCUGUUGGGAAAGCUAACAGAAGAUGGAACUAAAAAUCCCAGUGACAAAUCUUCCCAGCAAAAAAGCAUAGCAUUUAGCUCUAACAAUUCUGUAGCAAAGCCAAUACAGAAAUCAGCUAAAGCUGCUGCGGAAGGGACAUCUUCAGGACCAUUAAAAAUAGAUCUGAAAAAAAGUCCAUAUGGACUGUGGAUACCUAUCUAAAAGAAGAAACCUAAUAGCUAAGUUUGCAUGAAACUGCACUUUAUUGCAA